rnacentral:rRNA from 1 species
CCUACGGGUGGCAGCAGUGGGGAAUAUUGGACAAUGGGCGAAAGCCUGAUCCAGCCAUGCCGCGUGUGUGAAGAAGGCCUUCGGGUUGUAAAGCACUUUCAGUGGGGAAGAAAGCCUUGGGGCUAAUACCCUCGAGGAAGGACAUCACCCACAGAAGAAGCACCGGCUAACUCCGUGCCAGCAGCCGCGGUAAUACGGAGGGUGCGAGCGUUAAUCGGAAUUACUGGGCGUAAAGCGCGCGUAGGCGGUCUGAUAAGCCGGUUGUGAAAGCCCGGGGCUCAACCUGGGAACGGCAUCCGGAACUGUCAGGCUAGAGUGCAGGAGAGGAAGGUAGAAUUCCCGGUGUAGCGGUGAAAUGCGUAGAGAUCGGGAGGAAUACCAGUGGCGAAGGCGGCCUUCUGGACUGACACUGACGCUGAGGUGCGAAAGCGUGGGUAGCAAACAGGAUUAGAUACCCCGGUAGUC